GAUGAACGCUGGCGGCGUGCCUAAUACAUGCAAGUCGAACGCUGAAGGAGGAGCUUGCUCUUCUGGAUGAGUUGCGAACGGGUGAGUAACGCGUAGGUAACCUGCCUGGUAGCGGGGGAUAACUAUUGGAAACGAUAGCUAAUACCGCAUGACAACAGUUAUUGCAUGAUAACUGUUUAAAAGGGGCAACUGCUCCACUACCAGAUGGACCUGCGUUGUAUUAGCUAGUUGGUGAGGUAACGGCUCACCAAGGCGACGAUACAUAGCCGACCUGAGAGGGUGAUCGGCCACACUGGGACUGAGACACGGCCCAGACUCCUAAGGGAGGCAGCAGUAGGGAAUCUUCGGCAAUGGACGGAAGUCUGACCGAGCAACGCCGCGUGAGUGAAGAAGGGUUUCGGAUCGUAAAGCUCUGUUGUAAGAGAAGAACGAGUGUGAGAGUGGAAAGUUCACACUGUGACGGUAUCUUACCAGAAAGGGACGGCUAACUACGUG
rnacentral:rRNA from 1 species